rnacentral:rRNA from 1 species
UGGGGAAUUUUGGACAAUGGGGGCAACCCUGAUCCAGCCAUCCCGCGUGUGCGAUGAAGGCCUUCGGGUUGUAAAGCACUUUUGGCAGGGAAGAAACAGCCUGGGCUAAUAUCCCGGGCGACUGACGGUACCUGCAGAAUAAGCACCGGCUAACUACGUGCCAGCAGCCGCGGUAAUACGUAGGGUGCAAGCGUUAAUCGGAAUUACUGGGCGUAAAGCGUGCGCAGGCGGUUCGGAAAGAAAGGUGUGAAAUCCCAGGGCUUAACCUUGGAACUGCACUUUUAACUACCGGGCUAGAGUACGUCAGAGGGGGGUAGAAUUCCACGUGUAGCAGUGAAAUGCGUAGAGAUGUGGAGGAAUACCGAUGGCGAAGGCAUCCCCCUGGGAUGAUACUGACGCUCAUGCACGAAAGCGUGGGGAGCAAACA